CCUACGGUGGGCUGCAGUGGGGAAUAUUGGACAAUGGGCGAAAGCCUGAUCCAGCCAUGCCGCGUGUGUGAAGAAGGCCUUCGGGUUGUAAAGCACUUUCAGUGGGGAAGAAAGCCUUGGGGCUAAUACCCUCGAGGAAGGACAUCACCCACAGAAGAAGCACCGGCUAACUCCGUGCCAGCAGCCGCGGUAAUACGGAGGGUGCGAACGUUAAUCGGAAUUACUGGGCGUAAAGCGCGCGUAGGCGGUCUGAUAAGCCGGUUGUGAAAGCCCCGGGCUCAACCUGGGAACGGCAUCCGGAACUGUCAGGCUAGAGUGCAGGAGAGGAAGGUAGAAUUCCCGGUGUAGCGGUGAAAUGCGUAGAGAUCGGGAGGAAUACCAGUGGCGAAGGCGGCCUUCUGGACUGACACUGACGCUGAGGUGCGAAAGCGUGGGUAGCAAACAGGAUUAGAUACCCUUGUAGUC
rnacentral:rRNA from 1 species